rnacentral:misc_RNA from 1 species
GGGAACAGCAUCUUGGACUUCUCAUGGUAGGGGUGAAGUUUAGGUAUACAUGUGGGAUUAUACUUAUCUACCGUCUCAAAGCAGGGAUAAGCUAAAUAACAAAUUUAUGGUCUCUGAAGCACUGCAAUAGUCUUUCAUGGCUACCACACUUGCAUGUGCAUCAUCUCUGCCAUGGAUUUGGGUGAUUGAAGCAUUGGCAAGUUCCCGUGAGAUUGACACAUCUUUACUCAUCAAUUUGGUUAAGAAGACUCCUGCAAUCUCUGAUGAUCUGGGGAGAAAUGCAAGGGAAAUGGUUUCCUUGAGACUUUUAGAGAGCUUAUUUGUUCGGGAAAACUCAGAUGCAAAUAGUGUCGC